rnacentral:rRNA from 1 species
GUGGGGAAUAUUGCACAAUGGGGGAAACCCUGAUGCAGCGACGCCGCGUGAGCGAAGAAGUAUUUCGGUAUGUAAAGCUCUAUCAGCAGGGAAGAAGAAUGACGGUACCUGACUAAGAAGCACCGGCUAAAUACGUGCCAGCAGCCGCGGUAAUACGUAUGGUGCAAGCGUUAUCCGGAUUUACUGGGUGUAAAGGGAGCGCAGGCGGUGCGGCAAGUCUGAUGUGAAAGCCCGGGGCUCAACCCCGGUACUGCAUUGGAAACUGUCGUACUAGAGUGUCGGAGGGGUAAGUGGAAUUCCUAGUGUAGCGGUGAAAUGCGUAGAUAUUAGGAGGAACACCAGUGGCGAAGGCGGCUUACUGGACGAUAACUGACGCUGAGGCUCGAAAGCGUGGGGAGCAAACAGGAUUAGAAACCCUAGUAGUCC